GACAGACUAUGAAUUGGGGCACCUGAGCUUGCAGAAUCCAGACAACCAAACUCCAUCAAUCAAGAGAAACUUAAUCCAGGGAGGUAGGGUAGGGAGUUGAGAUCAGGAGGGGUAGUUUACAAAGAUCUCUAUUUUGCAUUUUUUCUAGACUACUGGAGAAAUAAGGGAACAGAGUGAAUGAGUAUAAAAUUUCAGAAUCAUGAAAGUUUAAUCUGAGAGUCCUAGUUGAUUAUGAAAACCAUGAGAUAUUGAUAUUGGGCACUUAAAAUAUGCCAAAUUGGAAAGAAUUAUGGGCUUUGUCAGAGUUUCUUCUCUUCCUAGGCAUGUAGAAGGGCCUAUGUAUAUCAUUAGGCUGCCAGUUCUAUAUAUAUACAUGUGGGUACACACAUGUGCAAUAUACCAUAGGCAGCAUAGCUGAUCACGGACCUUAAGGGUUCUUCUGCUCACUGGGUCAGAAGCAUCCAAUUUCCUGUCAUCAGUUGCUGUUCAGCCAUGUUAAUACUAAAAGUAUAAGAAUAUCAUAAUCCCAGAGUGAUAUAAAGACCUUUCCAAGGAAGAUGAGAUACCCAGAGGCUGUGAAGGAGAAGUCUGAAGGAUUUGACCACGUUAAAAUGAAAAGCUUCGGUUAGCGAAACACCAGAAACAAAUUCAAAAGAUAAAAUACUCUCUGGAGAAGCCCAUUCUCUCAACACAUCUGACAGUUCACAAAGAGCAACUGCAGUCCAGCUUAAAAAAUGAAGAAAAUGGUAGGAAAAUAGGCAAUGUGCACUGACACAAUAUAUAAGAAGAAACAGGAAUGCCCAAUUAACCAACAAAAGCCUGCUCAAUGCUAACAAGUGAAGAUAAAAGCUUAGUAAAGAUGAAAAUUUAUUGAAGAUAAAAAUGGAUACUCUGGCCAUAUAUAAAAGCAUUGUUGGUAAGAGAGUGGGGUAAUUGACAUGCUCCUGGGACAUAGUAGGCAUUCAAACAACUUCUAAUGAGUGAAUACACUGGGGGUAUCCACCAGGAAUAGCAAAAAAGCCCACCAAUGCCUGAGUUUGUGGUCCAGAGUUUGAGCAGUGGUCUAACAAGGCAGAGGCUCUCCCUCUGUCACGGGCUCCACCUCUUCAGCAAAGAAACAUGCCUUAUUUUGGUAACUCAUCCAAAUAACAGAACUUUUUUUUUUAAUAAUCUUAUAGCGUUUAUUUGGUUAAGUCUGAGGCAGAACGUUUUUCUCCUUUGUAGUAUCUUUGUUUUGUUUUGUUUUAAUUCUUGAAGUUUAUUACCAAAUUACAUCUUGCUGAUUUUUCAGGAUAUGGAUAGGCCUUCCUAUUCUCAAUUAAGUCUUUCUUUCCUUUAAUUCAAGAAUCUUUUAAUCGUGUCUUAAUUUAUUUUUCUGUCAUCCCUCCCCACGCCAUAAGCUACCAGACACCGUACAUGUUGGAGCUCUCUUUACUGUGGCAUAGAUCUCUAAUGUCAUAUCUUUAGUCAUUAUUUCGUGUCAGAGAUUUCUGUUCUUCCAGGGACAUCUGGCAGUGCCUAGAGACACCCUACUGGCACCUCUGGACAUGCUAGUGGCUUCUAAUGGGUAGAGGCUAAAGAUGUUGCUAGACAUCCUGCAAUGCCCAGGACAGCCACUGCCACAACAAAGAAUUAUUCAGGCCAAAAAUGUCCAUAGUGCUAAGGAAGAGAAACCCUGUCCUAGGGUCAAGGCUGGAUACUGAUAAGACUAAUUUCAAGUGAUUUCAAAUGAUUGUGGGGAAAAUACCCAGAACUUGACAGGAGCCAUAUGUAGAUACUUCCUCCUGUAAAUCAUAUUUCCCUAAUGCUAAUGCUGGAGCAUUUGGAAGUAUGUGUAUAAAUAUUUGAAGCAUAAAACCAGAGAGAUGCCCUUAUGUUUUUAGCUUCUAGUUUUAAAUAAUAGAUACUACAAUAAACCUUGAUUAUCUGACGUGCUCUGGGUUUGCGCUUUUUGUGUGGGUUACAUUUUCUAGUUAGUGAACAUUUAACCACGAAAUAUAUUUGUUUCAAGCUUUGUUUUUCAAAAAGAUAGCAUUUCUAACUGAGGUGCUUGUAAUGUCCCUGGAUCAUGAAGUAAGUUGAAAACCCUUAAAUCCUGUAUAAAUGAAGGAGGGGAGAGUAUUAUGGUUAUAAACACAGUUUUUUCUAGGUAUCAGAUUGAGCUAAAAUGCUAACUGACACAAUGUUAGAAUUUCUGAAAGUGAUUUUAGAAAUAAAAGUCAACAUCUAACAGUUAAUAAACAUCUGUCUAAAAUUUUAAUAAGCCCUUCAGUCACAUGUUCAACACUCUUACCCUGAUUAAGAAACUCUAUAAGACUAAUGAACUGAUCUGUAUUCACUUUAUCUCCUUUUUUUCAUAAAUGCACAUAUUUGAGUAGUUACUGUUCUAAUUGUUUGCAAAUUCAUUUGCAUGAUUUCCUUCAAUAUUUCAUAGAACCUACAAAAUUAAUUACUUGAUCUCAUAAGAAUAAGCACCCUGUCUCCUCCCUUUCUGUAUUAAGGCUAAUUUAAGGGGAGGAAUGUAAUUUAAUAGAAUAUCAUUGUUUACUCACAUUACAUAAUGAGAUCUCAGUAGGAAAGGAUGCUGAAUGCUACCUUUGAGAGUCAAUUAGUACCUUGGGGCAAAAAUAUGAUAGUUUAACCAUGUAGUCAUUAAGACUUCCCAGAUAAUAGCUUUCAAAUGGUCAAAGCCGUAGUUUCUAGAGCUCCUCUCAACUCUUCUAAAAUGCUAAAAAGCAGGUUCAGAGGAGGUUGAGCAAAGAUUACAAGAGCCAGAAGUCUCCAUCAUCAUCACUGCACUGGUUUGUCUGGGUGGCAUAAUUUGCAAAUCUCACUGAUAACCUACGCUUGAUAUAAUGAUGUGAUAAGUUAAAACAGAACAAGAAAAAUUAUUCUCUCAUCUAUGUUUCUUUUUCAGAGCCAUUUCUUGAUAUUCCCUCAAUAUUCUCUUCAUAAAGAGUUGAAAUAAAACAGUAGGACGAACCCUGAAAACUGACACAGAGUUUGUUUGAUGCAAGCUUUGAUUAACAUUUUAUAUUUUUGGUUUCAUUCUUUUUCUUAGUUGUUCUUUACAUUAACCAGAGCAAUCUUAAGUAUAAUAUGCACAUUCAUUCAGAGAUUUUUUUUUUAAGUUUAACAAUGACUGUCUUUUCUUAUAAGCACUGUUAGUUUUAGAGGUUACUCAAUCCAUUGUGUCUUUGGGUGUUGCACCACUAUUUAUUCAAAGUUACCCUUUUGCUUACACAUACCCAUGUAUUAAAGAGAAUUAAGUUGAUUCACAAAGAUGCCAUAACAACCACAAAACUAUAUUAUGUUCAUUUUUUUAAUACUGCCUGAAAUCUUGAAGGCAAUCAAAAUAGCAGGUAAUGCAAAGAAUCUGUUGAGCAUUACUGGACACUUUUGCAGUUGAAGACACUGUAGUCACCAAGUAACUUGUUCAGUGUCUGCUGUGUCCUCGGCACUGAGUUGGAUACUGCAAAAACAUUACCUGAUGAGUUUUAUCUCAGAAACAUUUGCCCUAUUCAGAGCUCAGCUCUUAAGGAAAUUUCUCCAACUAAAAAUAGUCAAAGGACAUGAGUUGAAUCGUUGAUCAAAUCUUUGAUCAUCCCAAAUAAUGAAACUGCUCCUCUGGCUCUGACUGGAGACUCAUUUACUCAUACUUUGCCCAUGUGUUUCACAAUCAUGAUUUUCUGAUUUCCCGGUUAAUGAUGCUUUAGGAGCAGUGAGUUGGACGGUGAUAGAAGAUUCUAAUUAGUGGCUGGCACAGAGGCUCACACCUGUACUACCAAAAUUUUGGAAGGCUUGAAAAGGUGGAUCACUUGAGCCUAGGAGUUUUAGGCCUGCCUGGACAACAUGGUGAAACUCCUCUCCACUAAAAAUACAAAAUUAGCUGGGCAUGGUGGCAUGUGCCUAUAAUCCCAGCUACUCAGGAGGCUGAGGCAGGAGAAUCACUUGAAUACAGGAGGUGGAGGUUGCAGUGAACCGAGAUCAUGCCAGAGGGAAGGAAAAAAAAAGAAGGAAGAUUCCCAUUGGAGGCACAGUAAUGGCUGAAAGCCUCUGGAAUACGAGGAGAAAUUUGAAAAACAAAUAAAAUACAAUACACAUCAGACUAUGAGGGCAUUAAGUACAAGGAUACCCAGUAAAAGGGAUGGUAUAAUAAUAAAUGGCAAAAACGUGCUUAACAUACCAUGUUUAAAAAGACAGAGACAUAUGAGAUAUACCAUAAAUGGGCUUCUUGCCAAAGUAUUUACACUCUUAAAAAUGCUUGGACCUAAGAAAGAAAACCAUCAGUUAUCUGGAAGACUCAGCCACUCUGGUGAAUUGAUUUUUCUGUAUAGCAGAGGUUUUAGCAUUGUUGAUGAAGCACAGCUAAGAGUAAACUGCAGGAUGUCAUUAAAUGCUGCGUUGUCUGCCACCCCUUUCCAUAGUUUCUAAGAAAAAGUAAGUGAUUGAAAGCUCUAAUGGUGAAAGAAAAUUUAGGAGUCUGUGCUAAGUCUAGAAGCUAAACUAGAAUUUGAAUAGGUAGUGGGUUUUCACACUGAUUAAAUAUGAAGCAAUUUUUUGACUCUUUAUUCUCAUCUUAUCUCUGGAUAGUAAUCCAAGGAAAUGGACCACUUGGGAGUAAAGAUUCUGAAAGCACCUGACACAAAAUCUUUCAUCUUCACUAUUUUUCUCAGCCUCCUUCCAUCUCUCUUCCUCAAUCCAUCCUGAGUCAGGUUAUACUGCUCCAGCGUGACGUGAAGAGCGGAGUAAGGCAGUAGAAUCCACGUUCUAGGUUUAAAUUCUGAAGCUUACCAACUGGUACCUUUGAACAAGCUGUUGAGCCUGCAUUCCUGCAGAUGACACUGGCACUCACAAAUGAUGAUCCCACUGAUCACGAAUCAUCAGGACAAUGCAGGACCUCAGGAGCCUGAUUCUGGGCACAAACUGCCCUUUGGGACUUCCAAUUACUUAGCAGCAAUACCAAUUCUGUGAUUAUUAUUGUAUUUAGUUUAAAUUUCAGCAUGAAGAACAAGCAGGUGAAAAACCUCCUUUUCUUUCCAGCGUUUGCUACAGGAAAGUAUAAAAAAUGGCUAUUUGGUUGAUCAAGUGAAAUGUACUAGGAAAUUAUAAAUGCAUAAAUGGCAAGAAUGAGAGAGGGAAUAGUUAUGACUCCAAGUCAGUCUGUCUGGAGUUUUGGGGAGAUAGAGUGAUUGAUGAAUGUCUGUUCAAGCCAUCAUGAUCUGUUAGAUUCAAGUUCACAAGCUGGAAAUUCUUAUUAAUCAAAUGAGUGGGGGCAGAGUGGCCACUCAUACAAGAUGAGCUUAUUCUCAUCCAAACCAGCCUGGCUACCACUCCAUUUACUAGGAGCAAGGCCUGCUGUGUCUCACUCAGACCUGUACUCUGCUUGGGUUUUCUUCCUGAUGAGAAAGAACUCAUUGUUCCAAUUGAUUUGAGAGUGAAUUCUACUUUGUGUCCCUGGGGAAACCUGCAAACGCCCAGAGCUCAUCUUGUCCUCUCUCAUCACCAUCCAGCCUCAUCUCCUUGAACCCCUCCUCCCAUUGGAGCCAGAAUGAUCGAUUUAAAAUGCAAAUCUAACUACUACUCCUGUUAUUUUCCAAGUCUUCCAGAAUAAAUUCCAAAUUUCUUAGCAUGGACUAUAAAACCCUCUGUGACCUGGUUCCCUGCCCUGCCCAUGUCUGACUAGAAAUUGAUGAUCUAACAAUCCCAGAGUACUUACCAUCCAUGAGGCCCUUCUCUAACCAAGACAUUGUUUACACCUCCAUGCCUUUGUGCUGUUCUCUUUAUUAGAACUUCCUUCUAUAAUCUGUUUUCCUUGCUAUUCUUUCUCAUUCUUCAAGAUUUAACUUAUAUUUGUUUUUCCAACAAACCUUUUUUGUAACUCCAGAGUGGGAGCUGUGGGAGGUUGUGCUUUGUCUUUGCACAUAGCUCUCUGCUUAUAAUGGUACAUUGAAAUGAUCUGAUUAUGUGUUCUUUUUCCCAUUAGAAAUAUGUGCUUUACAAAGACAAAGACUGAAUUUUGUCUAUCUUCAAGCACUUAGCAGUAAACUUGUCAGUCUACUCAGUAAGUGUGUGUCAAACUGAAUCAUUGUGUUUCUAGAAACUUCUGACCAUGUGGUCCAUUCAUUGAUUCAUGAGUGGAGGUCUACUUUGAUUACCAGGCAAAGGGGAGAACUGGAGUACUUACCAAGCAAAUAGAGAUUCGCUGGUGGCUGUCUACAUAUUCAACUGAAUAAAAGUCCCUAUAUUUCUAAAGUCAUUUUAACAUCUCCCACUUUGCCUGCAUCAUAAUAGGCAUUAUGAGCAUCCACUAAUGACCAGGCAGAUCACCUGCCCUCAAAAUGUAUGUUUUCUAGAUAAACAAAGCUAACUCUAGGUGCUGCACGAAAAGUCACAGCCUUGCUGUUUCAGUGAAGAUACAUACCAAAUGCUCUUGAAGGAAUCAGUAAAGACUAUAGGCUGUGAGAAAGGGAACCCGAGGCCACGUUCAUGCCUAUCUCCAGGUUUUACCUGCUGUUCCUAUUUUGCCUCUGUGUUCCCUGGACACCACCAUUCCAGUGCAAGAUUUCCGGGGUUGAAUUCAUUUUCAGCAAAAGUUCUCAGAAGUGCUCUGACUGGCAUGGGACCAAGAGGCCACAUGCAGUUACAGGGAGGCCGGCUAAGCUGAUCUCUGAUCUUCCCAGCAAGGAAGUCCUCACCCAUUGCCCAACAUCUCUGCCAUGUUUCAAAAGGCCAGAGAGAAUUUUGCCUGCUAAUUAUUCACUUGACCCAGAGAAGUAAGUCCUCUGUAAUUUCAAUCUGUGCUUUCUAUUACUAAGAUAAACUAGUAAUGAUUUGCCAAUAAGAUGCAAUUACAGUGCCUGCUGAGGUCAAUAUUCAAUCAGUGGUUCCAUUCUGAGUGCUGCUUUGAUCAGUUGGUCAAAAAAUUUUCUUUCUUUAGAUGCUUUGUAAACUAUGAUUGAUUGGGAGGUUUAGGGGUUUCAGAUUGGAAUGUGGUUUCAUUUUUAAUCCAACUUGUGAGCCGCAGUUCAAACUCUGGUCAAAUGUGAUAGUCUUUCUUGGGAAGCUCCUGCCCACUCUGAGACCAGAGUGGGUACUUCUUCCUAUCCCUCCCACCAUCUCCUCCUCUUCCUCCAAUACAGGUCAGACUCUAAAGAAUAGCAAAUAAAGUAGACUAUUCUGAAGGUUUUAUAGAAAGAUCAGCAGGUCAUGUUGAUCACUCUCCAGCAAAAUCAACAUUUUUUUUGUUUUUCAAUUAUUUUUUAGUUUCUCCUUAUCUGCUUCGUUGUUUUUUUCUCCUUUCUCUUUUCCCCAUACAGCCUUUUAGACUUUUCUGUAUACAUUAGAAUGAUUCAAUGUCUCCUUCACUUUGGAAAUCUUACUCUGAAUAACAAAGUCCUUGUGCAUAACUGAACAAGGCCAUUGACUGUUCCUCAGACACACUUUUGGAAGCACCAGCCCAGAUCACCACACCAGGAAAUCUGCUGGUUUAUAGGAAUAUACCAAAUUUGAAGAAGAAUAAAUCUAAGUAACAUUUUGGUACUUCAUCCCAGAAAUCCAAAAUAAUGGUACCUCAUUGCAUCUUGGUAUUCUACUGGGUCAUAAUUAAAGUAGAAUGCCUGAUAGUUUGUGGGCUCUGCUUUAUCUCACUCCCUCCUCUGAUAUGCCUAACUUAUCUGAAAGUCUAAUUUUAGUUCAAGGGGAGAAUUUCAUCUUUGUUUUGAUAUGGAUUCACAUUUACUUAGAAUUUAUAAUCAGAGGCUUCAAGUAGCUGGUGGUAGCUCUUCUGCGUAGCUCAGAUUGUAUUACUUUAUGUAUAAAAUUUAAAUCUUUAAUCCUUCUGGAUUUUACUUUGAUAAUGUGGCAACAUAUCUUAAAUUUAAGAUACAUCCAUAGCUCUUGGCACAGAAAUCUUUCUUACAGGAAUCUCCUCUAAUGAAACAAAGGCUGGACUUUAAUAAAUAAUAGUGUUUAUCACAUUAUUUGUCAAAGCAAAAACAAAACAAAGCACACGGAUGUUCAUUAAUGAGGGAGACACUGAAUAAAAUCUGGAAUAAUCCUCUUAUGGAAAAUUAAAUGUUUCCUAAAAUGGAUAAGUUAAGUCUCUGUUGACCCAGGGGACUGUUGAUAAUGUGUUAACAUGUGAGAAAGGCAUAAAAUGACAAUAACAACUCCAAACGCCUUAUAUCAAUGUUUAUUUUUUAAAUGUAAAAAGAUGUGGCUGGGUGCAGUGGCUCACACCUGUAAUCCCAGCACUUUGGGAAGCUGAGGCGGGCAGAUUACUUGAGGUUAGGAGUUUAAGACCAGCCUGGCCAACAUGGUGAAACCCGGUCCCCACUAAAAACACAAAAAUUAUUCAGGCAUGGUGGCAGGCACCUGUAAUCCUAGCUACUAGGGAGGCUGAGGCAAGAGAAUCCCUUGAACCCAGGGGACAGAAGUUGCAGUGAGCCGAGAUCAUGUCACUGCACUCCAGCCUGGGUAACAGAGUAAAAGUCUCUCUCAAAAAAAAAAAAAAAAAUGGUAUAACUAGAAAGACACCAGACUGGUAUAUUAUUUACUAUUGUGGGGGAUAGAAGUAUGAUUAACAUUUUCUUUACAUGGUUUUAUAUUAUUUCACUGGUUUCAAGGAUUGUGGUAGACACAUGCCAGUUUUGUAACUUGACAAAAGAUUUCAUCUGACAAAAAGAUUUUUAAAAAUAAAACAAGUAGACAAGUAAAACUGUUAUUUCUCUAUUUGAAAACUGUGGUGUUAAUAUUUUGGGAGCUGCACACACGUAAAGAGAACAGUAUAUUGUAGUGUUCUGCUCAUAGUCAAUUUGGGCGACAGCUGGUGAGAUAAAGGCCCCCUUGCACUCAUUUCCCUGGUGGCUCACCUUUCACUUACCCACUGAGGGUUAAGAUAGAUAGCUCUAACCAAACAGUUUCAUAGCAAAUUAGAUAUAGUUAGAGGCAUUGCCUUAAUAACAGGAAUAUGCUACAUAUUAAAUAGGCAUCUUGGAAAGCAUGAGUUCAUUUUUAGAAUCUAUUAAUAAUCAAUGUUAAUCUAUUAUCUUCAGGUAAGUAAUCACUUAUACACAUGUUCUCUUAUUUAAUCCUCAAAACAGAGGCUCAGAGGGAGUGCCUAACUUGCCCAAGGUCACAUUGUUGGUGAGUGACAGAAUCAGGACCACAGUCACUCUUUUUAGAUGAACAACCUAAAGUAUUUUAACACAGAGUUAAAGAAAUAAUCACUGACUGAAUUAAUGAUUCUACCAACUAGACCCAGUGGACAACUAGCUUAACCAAUAUCUACCCCAUAUAAGCCAAGGAGACUUCUUUUAUCUGAGACUUCUCAGAUAAACUAAUAGGAAGUCCAACUGUUAGUUGAACUUAGUCAAUCAUGGAACUCUGUUGAAGACCAUUUCAGGGGAAUAGGUUCCAAACCACAUGCUUUGGGAAAAGCUGCUCCAGCUAGAGUCAGACUCUUGUACCAGCUACUCUCUUCCUCCCUCUCUCCUUCAAUUCUAGAGACCUUGCUUAGCUCCUGUAACAGGAAGCACUUAAAUAGAGCUUCUUGUUCUCUUUUGGGUGCGCAAGUUAUUAAUCAACUUUAGUUGUAAAGAAAUGAGCAUUGCCAACUGUCCUUUGUGCUUGCGAUCUGGUGUUCUUUUGUCAAAAAGCACUGAGGCCUAUUGUUCUAACCCUUAUCAUGUUCACAUUGAAUUCUUGAUGACAAAAUGUAUUUGUUGUCUUCCAUCCAGAUUUUAAGUUCUGUCACUGGGGUUUUGGGCAGUUGCCAUUCUGAGGAGGAGCUGAAGAGCACUGCUCUGCCAAAGAAAAAGAAGCUGGGAGAUGAAUCACUGAGUGGUUACCCAGAACAGAGAAUGUUGUCUGCAUUCAUCUAUCUUCCAUUCAAUCUCCCUUCAGAAAGACUAUUAUGGAGUUGUAAAUCAGGGCUCAGAGACAAGACGGGACUUCCUCGAGGUCAUGACGAGAUGACCUCAUGGCAAGCUGAAUCUUCAAGUUGUGUUGACCUACCUGGGAGCAUGUUGGCUCCAGAAUUCCAAGCUUCAGUAAUUUUAUAAAACAAAAUUAAAAUACCAGAAGGAUGUAUUUGCAAACAAAUUAUAGAGCUUUAAGAUUAUACAACAGUUAAGAAAGCAUGAGGUGGGCAUAUGUGUGCCAAUAAGGAAUGAGUUUGAAAAGCAAGUUGGAGAACAACAUGAAUAAUGUGAUCACAUUUUUGCUUUUAGAAACCAAAGUUCCAUAUAAUACGUAGCUACCAUUUGGUAAGUUAUUAGUGUUUACCUGGCACUGUGCAAAGUGCUUUUAAAACCCUUAACUUGCCUGGGCAUGAUGGCUGGUCCUUUUAAUCCCAGUACUUUGGGAGUACAAGGCAGGUGGAUUAUCUGAGGUCAGGAGUUUGAGACCAGCCUGGCCAAUGUGGUGAAACUCUGUCUCUACUAAAAAUAAAAAUAAAUUAGCUAGUGUAGUGGCUAAGUAGUCCAAGCUGCUCAGGAGGCUGAGGCAGGAGAAUCCCUUGAACCUGGGAGGUAGAGAUUAUAGCGAGCCAAGAUCACACCACAGCACUCCAACCUGGGCAACAGAGCAAGAUUCCAUCUCACAGAAAAACACAACAGCAUCAAAAUGUUAAAAAAAAACAAACCCAAAACCCUUAUUUCCUUUCAUGCUCACAGUGCUGAGGGAGUGGAGUUGUUGUCCAUGUCAUUUUAUAAAUGCAAAAAUUGAGGCUUAGAAAUGUUAAACAACUUUCCCAGCAUCACACAUUCAGGUAGUCUGAUUCCAGAGCCUGUUCUAGAAGACUUUAUAUAACUUAAGUGUCCAAGCCCAGAAAAGCACAGGGACGAACACACACCACUGUUGUCAGAGGUUACAUCUGAAGAGAAGGGAUGGACUGGAGGGAGGGGGGCAAGAUAAGUUUGAGACCUUUAUUUCUUACUCUGAAUUAUUAUAUUGCUUCAUUUAUUUGCACUAAAUGUAUAUCACUUUAAUAGUUAAAAAGACAGUCCUUUUCACA